rnacentral:tRNA from 1 species
GCCGGAAUAGCUCAGUUGGUAGAGCAGAGGACUGAAAAUCCUCGUGUCACCAGUUCAUA